rnacentral:rRNA from 1 species
ACGGAAGGCGCAGUGGGGAAUAUUGCACAAUGGGCGAAAGCCUGAUGCAGCGACGCCGCGUGAACGAAGAAGUAUUUCGGUAUGUAAAGUUCUAUCAGCAGGGAAGAUAAUGACGGUACCUGACUAAGAAGCACCGGCUAAAUACGUGCCAGCAGCCGCGGUAAUACGUAUGGUGCAAGCGUUAUCCGGAUUUACUGGGUGUAAAGGGAGCGUAGGCGGUAUGCUAAGUCUGAUGUGAAAGCCCGAGGCUCAACCUCGGUACUGCAUUGGAAACUGGUAAACUAGAGUGUCGGAGGGGUAAGUGGAAUUCCUAGUGUAGCGGUGAAAUGCGUAGAUAUUAGGAGGAACACCAGUGGCGAAGGCGGCUUACUGGACUGUAACUGACGUUGAGGCUCGAAAGCGUGGGGAGCAAACAGGAUUAGAUACCCUGGUA